UUUUUUUUUCUUUUUCUUUUUUUUCGGGGGAUGGCACACCUGCAGCAUAUGGAAGUUCUUGGGCUAGGAUCAAAUCAGAGCUGCAGUUGCAGGCCAACACCACAACCACACUAGAUCAGAUCCAUAUCUGUGACCUAUACCACAGCCUGCAGCAACACUGGAUCCUUAACCUACUAAGUGAGGCCAAGAAUCAAACCUGCAUCCUCACAGAGACAAUGUCAGGUCCCUAAUCUGUUGAGCCACGUUGGGAACGCCUAUUUUAAAAGUCUUUUCAUCUUAUCAUUCAUUUUAGAAUUUGUGUAUAUGAUUCAUUUAUAUUAUGAAAGUUAUUUAAGAGAAGAAUCUUAGUCAUCUUUGUACUCAUCAUGGUGUUUAUAAGAUGCAUGUUAUUUUAAUUUUAAUGAAUUAGUUGAUUUAAAUAAGUACAUGCUAUCUAUGCAAAGGAUGUGUCAAGCUAAAAAUAACUAGUGAAUUAUUUUAUGAAGUUGCUUAUACAACAAAUAUUUAUAUUUUAAAGUUUGCUGUUCUAUUGCAAAUAAUAAAUGCUCUUUAGUGCCUGCAAAUAUGAAGGCAUCCAUAAUAAAAAUGCAGUUAUCAGGGCUAUAAGGAAAUUAAAUAUGAAAUAAAAAUGAAAUAUGCCAUUUUAAGAAUAACUAAAAGAACACUCUGGUAGUUAUUACUAAUUUGUUAGAAGUGAUCUUGGCUACCAAUUCUCAGCUUAUUAUCUCUGUGCAUAAAUGAUGACGUGUUUAUUGAUAUAAUAAAGCAUUUUUCACGAUCGCUUGACAAGAAACUCCUUAAGUACUUUCUUUAUUUUAUAAAAUACAAAGUGAAUGAUUUAGUUUUGAACAAUGUAAUGAUCAUUAUUCUGCAAUUAUUUUUUGCAUUCCCUAUUAUAAAGGGACAGUUGUGAUUUAACAAACUUUUUUAACACAGGAGUGACCGAAUUUAUUCUUACUACUGAAUAUGUGAGCUGAUACAUACAGAAAGUUAAAUUUAAUAAAUUCUUAAUUUGUUUUACUUUAAUAUUUUAGUACUAUUAAUGAUAUAGUUGACAGCAAUGAAAUAAAAAUGAAGAGUUAAUAUUUUAAUAGUAACACGCAUAUUACCUAACACUAUUCAUCUUUAUUUUGCAUGGUUGUCUCUAGUGAUGACAUGUGCAUGGUCAAUAUAAUUACUGAGGACAUGAAUAUUAAGCUUCACAUAGAUUACUUUCCCUUUUAUGUUUUUUUUUUACAUUUUCUAAAAAUUUAGUUUGAAGUUAUUUGGUUUUCAGCAGUAUCUCUAUUAAUACAUUAGUUGAAAUCAGCAACACUUCUCAUGACAAUUUUCAGAAAUAAAAAUUAUGAAAGGGGAAUUUAAAAUAAUCUAUACACUGGGGCUUCUAAUUACGCAUGCUGGCCUUGUUCCCCAUGACUAAUGUUGGAAAGAGUUAGUGGUUAGUGCAUAAACCUUCUACGGUUUAUCAGAUCAUAAGAAGGGGCUAAUUUUAAACAUUGGUAGCAGGGGUGGGGUCAAAAUAACCUAAAAAUUCAACAUCUUAUUUUCUAUCUUUCCUUGUAGCUACCCAUCUUUCGUUUGUCUGGGAUCUGAUUAUCCAUGACGACCUCUUGUGAGGAACAGAAUAUUACUUUAGUUUGUCCUGAAGGGAACAUGUUAAUAACAACUUAAGACAUGGUCAUUUGUGCAAAAAAAAAAAAAAAAAAACAAAAAACUGUGUAAUUAGGAUAACCAUAGAGAUUUGCCUUAAUUUUUGAUGUUAUUUAGUAAGAAUCAGAAAGGACCAAGGAAAAAGUGGAGAAAGGCAAGCUUUUACUCUUAAUUCCGCUGGUGAACCAUUUGCUUCAGGUUUUCAUUAAUUUCACCACAGCAAUCACCAUGGGAAGAGUACUUAAGGGCUGCACACAACUGAAGCAUUAGAUGUUAUUUGCGUUUAAGCUAUUGCCAAAAAAGGGAGGGGUGCCAUUUUAAUUUAAGUGCCUAUAAAGUAUGUAAUUCCUACAGUUUGAGUGUAAAUUUUGUAAAUCUUAGAAAAGGGUAAUAAUUAUAAUCCUUGUUAUGCUACUACCAGUUACUGCAUUUAUGUAGGUUCCCUAAAAGAAUGUGUAGUUCAGUUUUUGGAUCAUCUUAGUAUCGGUUCAAAGAUGAAGAUAUAUGGCUAAUGCCUGGAAAGGUAGAAAAAGAUGAGAAACAUUUAUCAAAUGAAUGUUUUGUGAGAAACUCACAUGGUGGGAAAUAGGGAUGGGAGGUAAGAGGUCUGAGUAGGUUAUUUAGUAACAAAUCCAACCAGGGGCUUCUCAGUGGAAAAAGAAGGGAGCAAGUAUGAGAAAUAAAAACUUCAGAAAAUGGCAAGUGGAGAAAAAGUAAAUGGAAGCCUGGUAGGCCAGAGAGCCUAUGAGAGAUCCAUCUUGACUGUAAAUUCAAAUAAAUAGUCUGAGGUCAGGCGCCUUCUGUGAUUGCUGUUAUGGGUCCCCUGCCCCCAUCCCCGAGGUCUUCUGCUACAUCAUAUGUUCUGUGGAAAUGUGGGCACACUGACGUUUCCACAUGUCCUACUUAAUACUUCACAUACUGCUGGAAAUGCUGGCUUCUCUUUUUGUGGCUUAAGUGAUCAAUAUAUUUGAUUCGAUGUCUGUUAACUUUUUAGCACCAUUUGAGCUAGCAUGUUCUCAUCAUUUAUGAAAUUGUCUAUAUUACUAAGUUGUAACCAUCAACAUCAAACAAUGGUUGUAUUAGAGUGAGCACGGAACCUGGAAUCAGAAGACAGAAGUUGAGCCUCCACCUCUACAACUGCUUAUCCAAAAGUCACUUAAAUUACCUGAUUCUGCUUCCGUAAAUAGUCUGAGGUCAGACUAUUUAAAACAGAUAAUCGUAUGCAUAAGCUUAUUUUUAUAGGUUGAAUUAUAUGACCGUUUUAAGGAGGAAAGCAUCACUAUGUCAUUUUAGUUUCCAUAUGAAAUGAAAUGACUCCUGUUAGAUGGGCACAGGCUAGUUAAUUAAAAAAAAAAAAAAA
ensembl:lncRNA